rnacentral:rRNA from 1 species
AGGCAUAUCACGUUGAAGCACCGGUUCUCGUACGAUAACCGAAGUUAAGCAACAUCGACUCUGGUCAGUACCUAGAUGGGUGACCACUUGGGAAAAUAUAGUGCCGUAAU